rnacentral:rRNA from 1 species
CCUACGGGGGGCUGCAGUGGGGAAUAUUGGACAAUGGGGGGAACCCUGAUCCAGCCAUGCCGCGUGUGUGAAGAAGGCCCUCGGGUUGUAAAGCACUUUCAGUGAGGAAGAACGCCUGGUGGUUAAUACCCAUCAGGAAAGACAUCACUCACAGAAGAAGCACCGGCUAACUCCGUGCCAGCAGCCGCGGUAAUACGGAGGGUGCGAGCGUUAAUCGGAAUUACUGGGCGUAAAGCGCGCGUAGGUGGCUUGAUAAGCCGGUUGUGAAAGCCCCGGGCUCAACCUGGGAACGGCAUCCGGAACUGUCAAGCUAGAGUGCAGGAGAGGAAGGUAGAAUUCCCGGUGUAGCGGUGAAAUGCGUAGAGAUCGGGAGGAAUACCAGUGGCGAAGGCGGCCUUCUGGACUGACACUGACACUGAGGUGCGAAAGCGUGGGUAGCAAACAGGAUUAGAUAGCCCUGUAGUC